UUUAAAUAUAAUUGAAAGAGAGAGGUGGAGAGCACGAGUUAGAAAUUGAAACAUUAGGGUUCUUAACUGGAGAUAGAAAACGGGGUGUGCAGAUGUGGGAAACCUUGCGUGAUUCGAACUUCGUGGACGGAUUCAAACCUACGAAGAAGAUUCAUGUGCUGCGAGUCAAGAUAUGUGAGGCAGAGGCAGGGAUGCAGGUUUUUUGAAUGGGUGGAUCCGGUGAUUUGUAGUAGGUCGAAGCAAAUCAUUCCUGGAUUGCUAAGGAAGGUGAAUAACUUGGAAGCACAGUUGAGGGGGCAACAAAGAAGGGAAAGAUUAUUGUAGACUUGGGUAGUCAUUUGAAUUUUUUUCAUCUUGUUAAAAUGACUGUAGUGUAAGUGUAGUUAGGAGUUAGGAGAGUAUGUUCUAUUAGGUGUUUAUUUAGUAGAUUAUAAUUUGUAGCCAUGUAUGACACAUGUUUGAUGAAAUGCUUCAAAGAACGGGAUAAUUUGCAAUUAGGCUUAUUUAUGGUGUUUUGUCUAAUAGAGAAGCAUUUGUAGCCAUGUACUCAGAUGAAUUGCUUCAAUGAAAAUGAAAAUCUGUUUCUGUCAUGUAA